ACCAAGGAAAACACAGAUUGUGAGAAAAUGCAAGAGGGUAACACCUAGAAGAAAAAGAUAGAGAAGACCAAGACAAAAAGAAUAACACAGGAAGGUAAAGCCGAAAAAGAGGAGGAGAAGAAGAUGAAGAAGAAAACAGAAGAAUGACACAGGAAGUUAAUGCAAAAAAGAUGCGCAGAAUGUGAAGAAGAAGAAGAGGACAGGAAGCUAACACCAAGACGAAGAAGAAGAAGACGACCAACAACAACAACAACAACAACAACAACAACGCAGUACGGGUCCCAGUGAGCAGGCUGUCCAGCAUGUCUCCAUGCACCACAACACCUCAUCACCACCUCAAGCAGAAUAAUUACCCCGACUGUCCAUCAAACCUCUGCAAACGAUUCCAUCACGGCUGGCGCGAGCAGCAGCUCAGCGUCGGGCCCUGAAACGGAGCUGACGUCUCCUGGACAGCUUGCAUUACCACGCUUGGCCCGAGCACAAGAGAAGCAGCUCCUCAUCUGCCUGGUGCGCGCGGCGGAACCUGGAGGGACGGCGGCGGAAGCAAGCGCCACCUGCCUCAUUAUGUGGCGCCCAGCGUUUAUUAGCGCGCGCUAGCGUAAUUAGUCAUUCGGAUAAAUAAAUCUGUUGUGGAGUUAAUUGAGUCUGUGAAGGUUCACGUCGCUCGUUUGCCUCUUCGUUCCCCUGCUUGUACCUCGUGACGUCCCCGGUCACGGUCGGCGUCGCAGCUACUGAGACUCCGUUUAAGCGCGCGCUCCAAAACUAAUUACAGAGCGCACGCGGCACGCGCCUCGCUCGCUGCUGGAGCUUUCAGCUCCCGUCACAUGGCCGCCGACGCUUUUAGCACUUCCUGUACACGCUGGCUAAAAAGUUAAGCUUGUUAAUGUUUGACCUUGGAGGCAGCUGCUGAUGAAACAAUCCCUCCUAAACAAGGCUGGAAUAACAAAUGAGCGGAGUGGGCGCCGUCCCAGGGCUGUUUACGGUGCGGCAGCUACGUGCCAGUACGUAAUUAAACAGGAAAAAAAGUGAAAUGACCAGGAUGUUGGGCUUCUGCAGCUUUGUGUCUGCAGCGCAGAGGGCCACGCGGCGGAAGCCACCCAGCACUGAUGGGAGGACCUGGGUAGGACAGAGGCUCCCUGCAGCUGUGCAACAGCUGGAGUGAUGAUGUCAUGGCACUCUCCUGCAUGCUAAUGGAAGGUGCUUCUAUGUCGCUCAGCCAGCUGGUCACGAGUCAUCAGGGCCUGUAUUAGUCCAGUGGAAGGAAACACCCACUCACACGUCGUCUGUUCCACAACCACAGCACACUUUGUCCUCAUUCAGCUGCACGACUGACUGAAAUUAUCUGCGAUGUCUGUGAGUCUAAAGGCUUUGAUGGAGACGGAGCCUUUUCUCACUUUCUCACUUUUCUCCGCAUCCUUGAGGAAACUCCACUAAAGCCUCGUUGCUCACCCAGGCCACCGGGCAGCUGGAAGCCGCUUGAAGUGGCUUUGUGAAGUGAGCACUGACGCCGCCGCGCUGUGCAGAGGUCCACCCGCUCGUUACGAGCAGACGAGGACUCCACGUCCGUCCGUUCUGCACAGAGCACGGGACCCUGCGUCUUUGUUUAGAAUCCUUCCUCCUGUGACACCUGUGGCGGCUUCCUCGACCCCGGUGGACAAACGACUUCCUUGCCCCCGGGUCACAGAACAAAGGCGCCGAGCGGACGAGCGCGAGCCGGAAGCCGGAGGAUCCGGGCUGAACCGGGCCGCGGGUCACCGCGUGGCGGACGUGUGCGUGGGCGCCGUGUAGAAGACGGGCGUGUGACCUCUGACCUCCCCUCAUCUCCAGCCCUGCUGAGGCUCAUUACAGGCCACCAGGUGAACGGAUGAGCUGUUUUUUUCCACAGCUGCUGAUUCAAGCCUCCCACAUACAGCCCUGGAGAAAAAUAUACUUUCUUUAUUACCCACCGUUUCCGGAUUGCAAAUGAGGUGACAGUGUUCUUUGUAUGCUCAAUUGCUUCCUGGCUUGUUUUUCCCGUUCUCAUCUCGCUGAUAUCUCCCCGAGAUCAAGACGAGGCAGCGUUGCAGGGAGAGACCAGCCGCCGCGUCGCUCAGAUUAUUUGCGCUCGCUACUCUUUGGCGUUUGACAACAUAAUUACCAAAGUCGAAGCCCCCGUGCAAUUAAAAGCCAGCGAGAGCUGGAGAACAUGGCAGAGAUGAGACAGGAUCUCAACAAAGGUGUUCUAGGAGAGGAGCCGUGCCGGUGACAGCUAUGCAGGUAGGAAGGAGCACACUGGGAAAUAAAACAUGGCUUCCCGAUCGACUGUAGAUGCCCUCGGAGCGACCCCUGCUGCUUUUCAUUAGCGUGUGGUGAGAGACGAGGCCGAGACGUUGCCUCAGCUCUGAGGUCAGAGCCCAACAAGACCCAUCAUAGCAGCCGUGACUAGAUGUUUCUUUACCUUUUGCCUCGGGUUGUCUCCUGUCGUCAGGGUUGUCCGUUCCUGGCCCUCGGCGGCCACCGUCCCAUUUGCUUUCCAAACAAUCCUCCACUUCCAGCUUCUGAUUGGCUCAACACACCUGAUCCAGGUGAGCCAAGCUUGGCUGUGUGUCAGUAUUAGCACAUAAACGUUGGUCCUUCAAGGGGCCAGAAGUCCAGCUUCAAGGACUCGAGCCAGAUGGUCAAACCAAGCCAGCCUUAAAUUAAUGAUGCAUUCAGGGACCUCUCAUUAACUUGUAAAGCUAAACAUUUGCAGUUCUUUUUCUGGGAAAUUGUCCUCCAACGCUGACUUUGCGAGCUGAUAAAAAGCCUGAAGCCACUUUAUGACUUCAGCUGUUGAAUGAUUAACUAAACAUGUUGUUGGAGUUAAGUUAAAGCAGUGAUGCUGCUUUGAUUUGACCAAACUGGAAACUCCAGCUCGACUGUGAACCGCAGGGAAACGACUGUCACCUGCGCGUUCGGUGUGAAUAAUUGCCUCCCCGCGUCUGUUUUUAUGGUAAUAUGUGAAAACCUUUUGCCAAUUCAACAUAAAUCAAAAAUAUAAUUUUCCCUUUAUAAUGAAGACAAAUGACCAACUUGUGGCUGCACAGCUUGUUAGACAAACAAAGUGACUGCAGGUCCCGUUGGGCGGCGCGGCUCAAGCCGCUGCAAAUGAGCUCUCCAUCACACGUGAUCAAUUAUCAGCAGCGCUCUGUUCCGUUGGCUCAGCGUGGCCGCAUCGCUCUGCCAGGAGAGCUCCUCUGCAGCGUUUCCAAGCGGAGACGAACAAAACAAAGAGGAGCAUAUGUGAACAGAACCGGCGCCGGCUGUGGGGCAGCGCACGCAGGAGGCGAUGAUGCCCUGCGUGGUUGGAGCAGUACUUAUUCCCUCGAUCAACUGGCCAUAAAACAGUCUGAGCUCGUCCAUUAGGGAGUUGGUGUAUUGGCACUUUCAGAAGACUUAGGAACAGCAGAAGAGGAGCUGUGGCUCCAACCUGCUACGGGCCUUCAGCACCUCAGCCGCUCCUAAUUGUUUUCUCAGAACUCUGCUGCAGAAUCUGGUAUAAUGUGAAAAACAAAGUGAGGCAGCGCUGGGGCGUAAACACGGCAGCGGGCGCAACCUCCUCUGCAGAGUUAAUAGAAGCUGUCUCAGAGGUGACUCUGGGCAGACGAGCACUAUUCAGAGGAUUAAUUGAAAAUGAUGAGAAGUCAAACAGGAACAGGGACGUUUACAUAAUGAGGUACAGGGCAUAUGUUAAAUAUGACCCAGCUCCUUCCACAGCUGUUUAUGCAACGCUCACCUGCCCUUUGUUCUAUUUGUCUGCAGACGUGAGGUUUUUAGAGGAGACACGAGGAUUGACACUGAAUGUCUGAAUGUCAACGUUAUCAGUCAAGGCAUUGUGUGACGCUUUUUUGUAUAAAAUGACAAUUCACUGUCUUUCUGCAGCAGGUCAUUUUGGAAUCCACAUCUCUCCUCUCCAGCAAGAGGAGGCGACACCUCCUGCUGUCUUCACUUCCUCAUGUUUUCUCCCCCUAAAGCUCAGAGCGGCUGACGAUCAACAGUCAGACAUCGAAGCAGGAGUGCGCUUCCAGCGAAUUAACACCCGACCUUUGAAGUGAGGAAAGGGACGUGGGAUGGACCCAAACCCAAGAGACCCAGAGAGGAGACCCUGGAGCUAAAUGGCCCAGUGGAGGUGGGAUCCGGUCUCAGGAAUGGGCUCCCAUCACGUCAACAUUCCUGAAUAAAUAAAGGUGCACUUGUCAUUAGGUUAACCUUAGAGCACUGACUUCGACAUUAAAGGCAUGCUAAAUAUAUACACAAAGCCCAGGAACGCAGGCCUGCUGUUCUGUUUCCACCGCCCGUAUAGAUAGCAGCCAGAUGGUGGGGCCACGAGGAAUUAACGUGCAGCUAUUUUAGAAAUAAAUAAUCUAAGAGGAGAAGUAUGUCUGGUAGAAAAGCGUCUCAUCCCUUCUGUCGGUGUCACUCUCAGCGGAAGCUGAGUGAAAGUUAACACGAUGCUCAAGGAGGAGAGAAAGCAACGUGAACAAGUCAUUGUGGGGACCUGCUCGGGUAGAAGGCGAGCGGCGGUGGCACAGGUGAUGUGAACCGUCAGUCGGCCUCAGUCUGAGCCGGCGGCGCCGAUGGCUGUGCCCCAGUUUGACUCUGCAGACUGUUUCCAAGCUGCCACGUGUUUACACUUGGAGCGUGCCAAAAUUACCUAUAAUCAAAAAAGCCAGCGUGCGUUCGGGAAGGCUUGAUGCCUAAGUGUGCUGUUGAAUAUUCUGCUACAAGACAGACGAAACAGGAGCGGCACAGCGUGAAAACAAAGCGCGGAGGGCGUGGAGUCAACUCCUGGAACACCCCGGAGAUCAGACGUCUGUGACGGAGACUUUGCCGGAAAUUAAUGCAAUUAAGAUGGAACGGGGUCAAAAGGCUCGAACAGAAAACAACAGUAUCGCAUGAACAGCGGCAACAACUGCAACAUUCAGCCUCUGUUUGCAGCAGGAACGCAAAAGUGGGAAACGCAUCUGCACCGGCAGAGCCGCAGCUGAAGGAGAGUGUUUAAAGUGAGCAAACACACAUAGGAUCCAUUAAAAAGCGAUUAGCAGGACCGUCAUCCAUCAAGCAUCACGUCACCGUCUCAGCGGUGCCAGAAUCAAAAUCAAACAUACGUGACUCACGGCCUCCACGCGGCUGACGUGUCGGUGGAGGCCGGGCCCAGCUGAGCAUCGGUAUUCAUGAGGCGUCUGGUAGAAAGGUUAAUAGAGUGCUCAUCAUCUAUUCUACUAGAUUCUGCUUUGUCUUAGCCUGGAGGAAACGUUCCACUACAAGAACAUACACAUAUUUCCACAGUUGUCAUUUGGACACGGACCAGUGGAGCGAGCGAACUCUUUACUUCCACCGCUUUCCUUCGGCACCUCCAGCCUCCGACGCCGUGGCUCCAUCCCACCGUUCUGUCGGCGGCGCUGGGCCCCUCUCCUUCAACUGGCAAGUGAGGGAGGAAACAAAAGAGAGGAAGACGGAUGCAAACAAGCAUAGUCAGUUCCCCCGAGAAGCGGGUGCUGAUGGUGCUGAACACGUGGCCCGGCCGCCGUGGCCAUUAGCCGCCACGGUCGCUGACGGUCCUGACGGAGCACGAGGACGGCGAGGACUCAGAGAUCAUUUGAAAAAAUCCCCAUAAUUGGCUGCGAUGCUCCUGACAGCUUCCAGUGGACGUGCCCUGGGUCUCGGUAUCGAUGAGACUGAAAUCCUGCAGCCUUCCGCUGGUAGAAGCGAGUUGCUCCUUCCUGGACAUGGGCUGAUCUUGAGGUGUCAGGAGCAGUACGACAAAUACAUUCAAGGAUCCUAUUUUACCUUACUUACACACAUAGCAUGAUACUCCAUAAACUGGGACGGGACACAGUCUGAGCCUAGACAUACACGCGGUCCAGAUGUGAGCCAGCUGUGAAGUAUGGUGGGCGGCCAUCUGCCACGACCAGCUGAGGAAAACCCCGACAGAUAAAGAGAUAAACAGACGUCACACACAAGAAUCAAGUAGUCCAGUUACAGAGGACAAAAGCGGAUCACGUCCACUCCUCUGCUCGGGUUCAGGGACACAGUGUUCGGCAUGAAGAGCACAUUGUGUUCCAGGUUUGGGAUGAAUUUAUUAUCAGUUUUCUAACCAUUCUGGUUAAGGCUGAUUCUGGAUGUUACUCUACAGAGUAAACACCGGGUCUCCCUUUGUUUGCUCGCCUGCCACUGAGCUGAGUUUAAAAGAGUCUAUCCGUGUCUGAAGGACGUUAAUGUGCUGGAGGCGCUGCCCUAAUGAGGCAUCACUCCGGCUCUUGAUGAUUAAGCACCUCAAAGCCGCGGCCUUAAGAGUCCUCUCUCGGAGCAGCUCCUUCUUUCUGCUCGCCAGCAUCAAAAAGCUGUGUGUGCGUCUAAUGCGAGCCCCGCUCGCUCCUACGAGGACGGGGAGCGGAGGGUGGAGAUGGAGAGAUGCUCAUGAUGCCGGCCAGCGUAGACCUAGAACUAGCCCCAAGCUCUGAGCGCCAUGAGUCACGAGUCCCCUCCAUCAUAAAGAGACCUGCAUCCGAGCAACGUGCCGCUUGGAUUCACACAUGCUGGAGUCGCCUCCCGACGGCUACAGCUCUGAUUUACAUGCAAACGAUGUCCGAAAACUAUAAAUUAGGGCAAAAACUUUCACCUCCAGCAAAUGAAACAAGCGAGCAAGGCGCACAUUUCAUCAACCUAUUGAUCAGGACAUUAACCUGCGCCGCGGAACAGACCGUCUUGUACUUAUGAAUUCAUUGCAGCCUGAAAAGGCGGCGCAAAGGUUCCAGAGGCGUUUGAUUACCUGUAACACGUUCACUUCACGAACCGCAGAGACCGUGAGCUGCAUGAGGAGUCACAACAAGCGACGGAGGAUGAUUUAUUAUCUGUCGGCUCUUUAUGUUCGCCCACCUUGUGUCUGCACGCAAACCGCCUUUGUUUGGUUGAACAGAAGCCGCGUCGUUGUCCCUGACGCCCCGUGGGAACCGCUGGUGCCAAGAUGGACACCUGUUAAAUCUGCACCUCCCUGGGAUCGUGCUUCUAUGAAGCUUCCUUUGUCACAGACUGAUUUUGAAUUCAGGCGUCGCAAAAAAAUGCUGGGAUGCUGAAGUAAAGCACAAAGAGUCGGUAAUAGAUCGAUGGUUGAGUAGGAAGCUGUAUUAAUUAUGCUAAUGAUUUGUAUUUACUACUUCAUUAAGCUCCAUUGUGAGCUACCUUCACAUAUGGUCACCAUAGCAACAGAAACAAGUUUGUGUGCAUGCAGACAUAUGUGCUGAUGACCUGGUCUGGUAAAUACUGAGGGAGAGAAGCUGCAUCUUCUCUCUGUGAGGCAUAAACAUGAUUCUGAACCGGUGCUUUCAGUGAGAUCUAAGCUGCUGGGUUCCAUCUCACAUCACCCUCGACCUUCAUUUGCACACAAGGACACAGGGACUGGUGUCGUGUCAUGUGGAGACCUGCUCGUUCACCUUGGAGGCGAUUCAAACGAGCACGGCCACGAUGCUGCGGCGUCUAAACGUGGCCGAGCCGCUUCCUCGUCUCCGACCCUGACGUCAGGCCCUCACCUGAUGUAACUCCUGCUUGUGUUUCGCUGCUGCGCUCCAGCCUCGUUUCACAUUCCAGUCCAGUCCUCAUGCCACGAUGCUGCUGCUGCCACCCGACUUUAGUGCAGGGGAGGAAUUAACCAGGUUCUGGCCACAGCUCGCUGUUUAGUUUGCUUUAAUUAAGUUUAUCUCAGACAAAUCCUUUCUCCAACCAGAUAAUCUUGUUUCACUAUGCACUCACUGUGCUUCAAAUGCAAUUUAGCCAACUCCAAAAUCACCUGUCAUGUCCUCUCGACUCAGAGUGGCUUCCGUCUAGCCACUCCGUCAUAGAAGCUGCUAAGGCAGUUUAUCCUUUAGGGCAGGUCCGGCCAAAGUUCUGCUCCAGAGCCCGUUGGGAUCUGAGUCACUCGCCUGAUCGAGGCCUGUCCUGACUGGUGAUUGAGUUUGAAUAAACUCCCCGACUUAGAAUGAAAGUCCAUUAGCUGUCUCCAAAUCAGAAUGGACCGAGGUCGGCCUGAUUCUACAGAACGCGUUCGUCUGGGUCAGUGUCCAGCGUUCGCUCUGUCAGGACGGGACGGGACAAACUACGGCGGCAUCACCUCCUGUGGAUAGCGAGGCGUCGCCUCCGUUACAAAUGAACGCAGCUUAUUUGCAUCUAGACGUUCAGACAAACCCAGUGGGAGUCAGAGUCGGUCCAACUCAUAAUGGCUCUGCUUGGGGCAGAAUAUUGUGACAUGGAUCACAUUCUGCAUUAUUUUUGUUUGUUGAAGUUCACGCACUGAUUAAACCGCCCAAGGCUGAGAAAAAACGACACAGCAUGAGAUCACUAUAAAAUUACCACACUGGAUAUUAUGAGGCCAUUUUUCAGGAGGAUGCAUUAUUACAGAAACAUAUUUGGAGCCACUACAGCCACACAUCAGCAUUCUGGAGCAAGAAUUAAAAACAACGAUCCAUGUUUUUUUGUACAUAUUUUUAUUUGUUUUACAGACUUUUUGUCACAACAAAGUCAGCAAGAGCAUCUUUUUUUUUGUCCAUGACACUGUAGUAAUUCAUUUGAAAGCAACCGAGAGGAGAGAGCAACCAUUUCAAAGCGUAAAAGCAGAGGCAGUUAUGACAUGCAGCAGAACAGGCAGGGCUUCUAACCAAAUGCAAGGGAAAUAAUAACAGCCCCACUCCAAGCCUCCAUUUACCCAUCAUUCAGAGCCCCCAGAGCCCAGCAAUUACAAAAAUACACAGAAGCCGCGUCCAAAGGGGGGUUUUCACUACAGGGUUGACAAAACGAACAAACUUCUAAAAUUCCUUAUUCUAGGGUGUGAUGUUAGCGCUGCUUCAAACGGGAACCGAUGUUAAAACUGCAACAUUCAAGUCUUCCUAGUUAGCCAGCAUGGUGAUUGGUCAAACAAUACAGUAUCUGUUACAGGGUACCAGCGGAGGAGUCAUCCAAAACACCUUGUGAUAUGAAAGUGAUACAGGGUCAGGUAGAAGAGGAUGGUCUAGUAAAAAAAGUGGAGGAGGCCACACUUAAUGGAAGGUUAAGUAAUGAGAGUGUUUUUCAUCUAGCUUAGCACAGUGCAAUUACUGUUCAUGAGAUUAAGCCCUGGUCACACAAUACUUAUACUGAAACUGUAAAAAAAAAAAAAAAUAUGAACACCGUCUGUUACUGUUUUAUAAUA